AGUUACGAAGGAAACCUCGAGCUCAUAUUGGUCAUGGGUUGAGAACGGGAAUUGAAUUCUCUGAAACCUAAU
rnacentral:tRNA from 1 species